UGAAAUAUUCCUUAAAAGGAAAAGGCAUCGUUAGGGCUUGGCUAAAACAUUAUCAGAGUUUGCAACGGAAGGCGUAACUGAAAUAAUCAGUGUUUACAGCGGAAAGCAUAACUGAGAUACAUGUAUGAAGACAUGUAUCCUUUCUGAGCCUACUUUAAGUUCGACAAAAACUCCACUCAGCAACACUUCAUCGCCCAUCACAGCUCAACCUGC
rnacentral:lncRNA from 1 species